rfam:Micromonospora sp. HK10 genomic scaffold Scaffold15, whole genome shotgun sequence.
CUUGAUCGAGCCGAGCCAGAGCGGUUCGCCGCCGGCGCGCUGCUGUCCGUACGUGGCGAGCAGGGCCUGCGCCUC